GGUAGCAGUGCCUCAACUGGCACAUUGCAAGCUAGUCUGCAGACACACAGGCCUCCUACCGCUCUUGCAGGGGCUAGCAUGCACGCGCGCAGGUGCUGGGCGCCGCUCGUAUUAGAAGCUGCUCGCACUGGCCUACUGUGCACAGGCCCCAGGCGCACAGGGCCUAUCCAUGCAGGCCUGCUGCACAGAUGGUGCGCACGCAGUUUGUGGCGCUUAUUCGCACAAAAGGUGUUGUGCAGACAGCCUGCCUGCGCGCAAUAGGACAAGCGUAGGUCUUGACCCGCGAUGUGUGCACGUCCCGUGCGUUCAUGUGUGCGGAUGGGACGUGCAUACUGUGUACACGUCCCG
rnacentral:lncRNA from 1 species